GAUGAACGCUGGCGGCGUGCUUAACACAUGCAAGUCGAGCGAAGCAGUUAAGUUGAUUUCUUCGGAUUGAUUCUUAACUGACUGAGCGGCGGACGGGUGAGUAACGCGUGGGUGACCUGCCCCAUACCGGGGGAUAACAGCUGGAAACGGCUGCUAAUACCGCAUAAGCGCACAGAGCUGCAUGGCUCGGUGUGAAAAACUCCGGUGGUAUGGGAUGGGCCCGCGUCUGAUUAGGCAGUUGGCGGGGUAACGGCCCACCAAACCGACGAUCAGUAGCCGGCCUGAGAGGGCGACCGGCCACAUUGGGACUGAGACACGGCCCAAACUCCUACGGGAGGCAGCAGUGGGGAAUAUUGCACAAUGGGGGAAACCCUGAUGCAGCGACGCCGCGUGAGCGAAGAAGUAUUUCGGUAUGUAAAGCUCUAUCAGCAGGGAAGAUAAUGACGGUAC
rnacentral:rRNA from 1 species